UACGUAGGGAGCAAGCGUUGUUCGGAUUUACUGGGCGUAGAGGGCGCGUAGGCGGCCACGACAAGUCAGUUGUGAAAUCUCUGGGCUUAACUCAGAACGGUCAACUGAUACUGUCGGGCUAGAGUGCAGAAGGGGCAACUGGAAUUCUCGGUGUAGCGGUGAAAUGCGUAGAUAUCGAGAGGAACACCUGCGGCGAAGGCGGGUUGCUGGGCUGACACUGACGCUGAGGCGCGAAAGCUAGGGGAGCAAACGGG
rnacentral:rRNA from 1 species